rnacentral:rRNA from 1 species
UACGAAGGGGGCUAGCGUUGCUCGGAAUCACUUGGGCGUUAAAGGGCGUGUAGGCGGUUUCGGCAAGUCGGAUGUGAAAAUCUCCACGCUUAACGUGGAGGGGCCAUUCGAAACUGCUGUGACUCGAGUCCGGUAGGGGAGUGUGGAAUUCCCGGAUGUAGCGGUGAAAUGACGCAGAUAUCGGGAGGAACACCAGUAGCGAAGGCGGCACUCUGGGCCGGAACUGGACGCUGAGGAGCGAAAGCGAUGGGGAGC